CGUUAAAAGGAAUUGACGGGGCCCGCACAAGCGGUGGAGUAUGUUGUUUAAUUCGAAGAUACACGAAGAACCUUUACCAGGUCUUGACAUACCAUUGACAGGCACAGAGAUGUGCUCUCCUUCGGGCAAUGGAUACAGGUGGUGCAUGGUUGUCGUCAGCUCGUGCCGUGAGGUGUUGGGUUAAGUCCCGCAACGAGCGCAACCCUCAUUGUUAGUUACUACCAUUCAGUUGAGGACUCUAAUGAGACUGCCAACGAUAAGUUGGAGGAAGGUGGGGAUGACGUCAAAUCAUCAUGCCCUUUAUGACCUGGGCUACAAACGUACUACAAUGGCCGGUACAAAGAGAUGCGAAGUGGCGACAUGGAGCGAACCUCAGAAAGCCGGUCUCAGUUCAGAUUGAAGUCUGCAACUCGACUUCAUGAAGGCGGAAUCGCUAGUAAUCGCGGGUCAGCAGACCGCGGUGAAUACGUUCCCGGGUUUU
rnacentral:rRNA from 1 species